rnacentral:rRNA from 1 species
AUGGCAUCCUCGUCUUCGGUUACACGUCGCAAGAAUACUUCCCCGCUUCUGGUCUCCACCCCUGCUGAGGACACCCCGCACCUCCAUGGCUAUUGGUCCCUUCCACCCCCGCCGGCCACCUCCGCCGGUCGCCGACCUCGUCCGUACUCGGCAUCCUCAGCCGAACGUCAUCGGGCUUCUCCAAGACCGUCCUCACUCUCAGGCAAUGAAGAUCCCCUCCACCGUGGUCGCCUGACCCAUCAGUCGCAGUCAGAAGGCUCUCGGCUUUCGGAGGAUCCUCCCCGGCCACUCGACUUCUCCGCCAAGCAUGGUCACCUAACCAAGGCACUUCCUAUGCUUAAAGUUGGUCCUCUUGUUCCCACCCCAAAGGCUACUAAGGAUGAGAUUGAGAAGAGGCAUAGGCAACAACGCAAUAUGGCAGAGGUGGUAGUCGUGUACCGGUCCGUUAUACUUCUCAUCUUCACUGCUGCACUCUUCUACUACGAAUGCCAAAGGCUGAUAAUCUUGGUCUCUGAGAUUGCUGCGGUCCUUUGCCUUCUUCUUUAUCUCUGGUCUUCCCACAUUAUGCAGUUUUGGUUAGACCGUCCAGUGACCAAGGAUGCCUCAUUGGUCGUGUUCAUUUGGUGCUUAGUGCUUUGCCUACUAGGGUUUCUUGUAGGAGUGAUGAUUAGUCCAGUUGCUGCUAUGGUCAUCACCAGUUUGGCUGCAAUAUGCAUGUCAGCAUUUUUUGUGCGAAGUCUACAUGAGUAUCUACAUACAAGAUCAGUGUGUUGUCUUAGUGAGGGAGGAGACAGUUUCUCCAGUGCCGUGGCUCACGGGGGGCAUACCAAGAACAGGAGAUCAGUUUCUCGCCAAGUUGUAUUUGCCAAGCCCCCAUGGAAAUAG